UACGUAGGGUGCGAGCGUUGUCCGGAAUUACUGGGCGUAAAGAGCUCGUAGGCGGUUUGUCGCGUCGUCCGUGAAAACUUGGGGCUCAACCCCAAGCUUGCGGGCGAUACGGGCAGACUUGAGUACUGCAGGGGAGACUGGAAUUCCUGGUGUAGCGGUGAAAUGCGUAGAUAUCCGGAGGAACACCGGUGGCGAAGGCGGCUUCCUGGACCGACACUGACGCUGAGGCGCGAAAGCGCGGGGAGCGAACAGG
rnacentral:rRNA from 1 species